rnacentral:rRNA from 1 species
GCAAUAUGAAGGCCAGGCUGAAGACUUUGCCGGAUUAGCUGAGAGGUGGUGCAUGGCCGUCGUCAGUUCGUACUGUGAAGCAUCCUGUUAAGUCAGGCAACGAGCGAGACCCACGCCCACAGUUGCCAGCGUACUCUCUGGAGUGACGGGUACACUGUGGGGACCGCCGCUGCUAAAGCGGAGGAAGGAAUGGGCAACGGUAGGUCAGUAUGCCCCGAAUAUCCCGGGCUACACGCGAGCUACAAUGGUUGGUACAAUGGGUAUCUACCCCGAAAGGGGACGGGAAUCUCCUAAAACCAAUCUUAGUUCGGAUUGAGGGCUGCAACUCGCCCUCAUGAAGCUGGAAUCCGUAGUAAUCGCGUUUCAACAGAACGCGGUGAAUACGUCCCUGCUCCUU